rnacentral:rRNA from 1 species
AAGUGCAUAGAAUUAUUGCUGCGGUUAAAAAGCUCGUAGUUGGAUCUGUGCCAUAGGACGUGGUCCACCUUCGGGUGCGUACUACGCUCCUAGGCUUUUUGCUGGUUUUCCCGUCGUAGCCUUCACUGGUUGCGGCGGGUGGCUGGCGAGUUUACUUUGAGAAAAUCAGAGUGCUCAAUACAGGCGUAUCGCUUGAAUGAUUGUGCAUGGAAUAAUAGAAAAGGAUUUCGGUCCUCUUUUAUUGGUUUUGUGGACUGAGAUAAUGGUUAACAGGGACAAACGGGGGCAUUCGUAUCUCUGCGUGAGAGGUGAAAUUCUUGGACCGUAGAGAGACGCCCUACUG